AGUGAACGCUGGCGGUAGGCCUAACACAUGCAAGUCGAACGGCAGCACAGUAAGAGCUUGCUCUUACGGGUGGCGAGUGGCGGACGGGUGAGGAAUACAUCGGAAUCUACUUUUUCGUGGGGGAUAACGAAGGGAAACUUACGCUAAUACAGCAUACGACCUACGGGUGAAAGCAGGGGAUCUUCGGACCUUGCGCGAUUGAAUGAGCCGAUGUCGGAUUAGCUAGUUGGCGGGGUAAAGGCCCACCAAGGCGACGAUCCGUAGCUGGUCUGAGAGGAUGAUCAGCCACACUGGAACUGAGACACGGUCCAGACUCCUGCGGGAGGCAGCAGUGGGGAAUAUUGGACAAUGGGCGCAAGCCUGAUCCAGCCAUACCGCGUGGGUGAAGAAGGCCUUCGGGUUGUAAAGCCCUUUUGUUGGGAAAGAAAAGCAGCAGGUUAAUACCCCGCUGUUCUGACGGUACCCAAAGAAUAAGCACCGGCUAACUUCGUG
rnacentral:rRNA from 1 species